rnacentral:lncRNA from 1 species
GUAGAGAAGCAUGUGAAUGACGCAGUUGCCAAAGGGGCCACGGUUGUGACAGGCGGGAAGCGACACCAGAGCGGAGGGAAUUUCUUCGAACCCACCCUGCUCAGCAACGUCACCAGGGACAUGCUCUGCAUCACCGAGGAGACCUUUGGGCCGCUGGCGCCAGUCAUCAAGUACGUUCCUCCAGCAGUGGAAGGACAGAGAAGAUUGGAAAGGAAAAGCUAGCCUAAGAGAAGUUCCUGUGUCGUUUCAAAGGCUGGGUAGGAAGGCUGAGCAGCUGCUGUCAGAUUUAGAUUUGCAUACCAGAGUGAGUUUGUGACAUUUGGGGCUUGAUUUUGUGUGUUCAGAUGCACAGAUGGGUCAGCCCCGGGUGUUAUUACUUGGGAGCUGUCCACCUUAAACUUUGAGACAAGGUCUCUCACUGAAACCCACGGAUCCCCGGGGAAGAGUAGACUGGUUAGACGUGGGGUCACAAGCACAUGCCACCACAACUGAGUUUUCACACGGGUUCCGGGGAAUGGAACUCAGCCUUUACCGACAGAGCCAGAUCUCCCCAGCCCUAGCUCCAGUUGGUGUUUCUGUUUUGUCUUUGUUGGGUGCCAUGGAGGGUGGCUACUGUUGUUUUUAGGUUUGGGUGAGUGUGUGUCUGUCUGAAACAAGGUCUCCCUCUGUAAUCCAGGCUGGCUUUGAACUUUCAGCUUACUCGCUUUAGCCCCACCCCCCAUAGGCAUACAC